rnacentral:rRNA from 1 species
GAGACCCACGCCAACAGUUGCCAGCACGUUCUCCGGAAUGGUGGGGACACUGUUGGGACCGCCUCUGCUAAAGAGGAGGAAGGAAUGGACAACGGUAGGUCAGCAUGCCCCGAAUUACCCGGGCUACACGCGGGCUACAAUGGACAGGACAAUGGGAAUCGACACCGAGAGGUGAAGGCAAUCCCCUAAACCUGCCCUUAGUUCGGAUUGUGGGCUGCAACUCGCCCACAUGAAGCUGGAAUCCGUAGUAAUCGCGGAUCAACAUUCCGCGGUGAAUAU